rnacentral:rRNA from 1 species
UACGUAGGGUGCGAGCGUUAAUCGGAAUUACUGGGCGUAAAGGGCGCGCAGGCGGCCGAUCAAGUCAGGCGUGAAAGCCCCGGGCUUAACCUGGGAAUUGCGCUUGGGACUGGUUGGCUUGAGUUCGGGAGAGGAGAGUGGAAUUCCCAGUGUAGAGGUGAAAUUCGUAGAUAUUGGGAAGAACACCGGUGGCGAAGGCGGCUCUCUGGACCGAUACUGACGCUGAGGCGCGAAAGCGUGGGGAGCAAACAG